rnacentral:lncRNA from 1 species
UGGGCAGUGGCCGCUAGGGGGCGCUGUGGGGUCAUUGAGCCCUAUGAGGUGGGAGGUGGCCGCUAGGGGGCGCUGUGGGGUCAUUGAGCCCUAUGGGGUGGAGGACCGCCGCUAGGGGGCGCUGUGGGGCAUUGGGACCUAUAGGGCGGAGGACCGCCACUAGGGGGCGCUGUGGGGUCAUUGAGCCCUAUGGGGUGUAAUGCAGCCCUAUGGGGUGGGCGGUGGCCGCUAGGGGGCGCUGUGGGGUCAUUGAGCCCUAUGAGGUACAAUGCAGCCCUAUGGGGUGGGAGGUGGCCGCUAGGGGGCACUGUGGGGCAUUGAGACCUAUGGAGUGGAGGACUGCCGCUAGGGGGCGCUGUGGGGCGCUAUGGGGGG